UCCUCCCUCCAUUUUGAGUUUUAUGAGAGCGUCUCAGAUCUAAAACUCCUCCUUUUACUUUCCAUCUUUGGAAGAGUCCAAAUCAAGAAGAAGGAGGCACCUGAUCAACCAUCAAAGAAGGAUCAGCGCAGUACUAGCAUACUGUGCUGAUUUCCUGAAGCAGGACUUCUGAUCGAGAUUCGUGGGCUCGUGUGGAUGACUCCUAGAGGCCGGAUGCAUGUGUGGCUUGCAACAUCAUCCUUAAGCC
rnacentral:lncRNA from 1 species